GGACUACCCGGGUUUCUAAUCCUGUUCGCUCCCCUAGCUUUCGCGCCUCAGCGUCAGUUACCAGCCAGGACACUGCCUUCGCCUUUGGUAUUCCUCCGGAUAUCUACGCAUUUCACCACUCCACCCGGAAUUCUAUGUCCCUCUCUGGUCCUCGAGUCUCGCAGUUUUCAGAGGCCUUGCUCAGUUAAGCCGAGCACUGUCACUCCAAACUUACGACACCGCCUGCGCGCCCUUUACGCCCAGUAAAUCCGGACAACGCUCGCCCCCUACGUAUUACCGCGGCUGCUGGCAC
rnacentral:rRNA from 1 species